UUAGUCCCAGCACGUCCAAAAUUAAAAGUUCAGCCCUCCACGUUUAUUAUACACGUCAUUUAUUGUUUAUUUAAUGAAAUAAAUAUGGAAAAUUACUUUCUCUCUUCCAACGGUCAUCUUCUUCCUCUUUAUAUGACCCAUAUCUUUCUCCACCAUUUUCCUUCAUGUUCCAGCAUUUUUUUUCUUUCUUUUCUCUUUCUUUAACUUACUUUUUAGCUUUUAAUCCCAAUUUAUACUUCGAUUCUUGAAUUUUGUUUUGUAAUUUGGUUCAACUAUUAAUUUAGGGUUUUAAUUUGAUGAACGAUUUUGUUGAAAUUCAUGAAAUGAUAAAUUCGAAAUUGAAUAAGCUUUGUAUGGAUGAAUCAGAUCCAAUGGUCAAUGUUGUUGUGAGAUGCAAACAUGGUAUUUUGGUUGACUUGCAAACUUCAUGGUCGAAGUCAAAUUCGGGAAGAAAAUGUUGGUCUUGCCCCUACUAUUGUGGACGAAGAAAAAGUGGAUCCAAGAUCAAAUUUUAUCAUUCUAAGAUUGGUGAACAAAAUCAAUGAGUUGGAAAAAGACUUAUGGCUUAAAGGGGCCCAAAUUGAUAACUUGAUGCGGGAGAAAAGCUCAAUGGAAGAUGGAGACGGUGUAGGUUGAAUAGGAAGAUAUUUUUAUGUAUUUUGAUUUGUGUUGCUGUUAUGUUCAUCAGCAACAAAUGAACUGAAAGUAGUUGCUAGAUAUGGUCGACUAUGGUGUAAAUUUUUUAUACCUCUCUAAAUAUAUCAGAUUAUGUUUUAUUAUG